rnacentral:rRNA from 1 species
GAUGAACGCUGGCGGCGUGCCUAAUACAUGCAAGUCGAGCGAACGGACGAGAAGCUUGCUUCUCUGAUGUUAGCGGCGGACGGGUGAGUAACACGUGGAUAACCUACCUAUAAGACUGGGAUAACUUCGGGAAACCGUAGCUAAUACCGGAUAAUAUUUUGAACCGCAUGGUUCAAAAGUGAAAGACGGUCUUGCUGUCACUUAUAGAUGGAUCCGCGCUGCAUUAGCUAGUUGGUAAGGUAACGGCUUACCAAGGCAACGAUGCAUAGCCGACCUGAGAGGGUAAUCGGCCACACUGGAACUGAGAUACGGUCCAGACUCCUACGGGAGGCAGCAGUAGGGAAUCUUCCGCAAUGGGCGAAAGCCUGACGGAGCAACGCCGCGUGAGUGAUGAAGGUCUUCGGAUCGUAAAACUCUGUUAUUAGGGAAGAACAUAUGUGUAAGUAACUGUGCACAUCUUGACGGUACCUAAUCAGAAAGCCACGGCUAACUACGUG